rnacentral:rRNA from 1 species
GACGAACGCUGGCGGCGUGCUUAACACAUGCAAGUCGAGCGGUAAGGCCCUUUCGGGGGUACACGAGCGGCGAACGGGUGAGUAACACGUGGGUGACCUGCCCUCAGCUCUGGGAUAAGCCUGGGAAACUGGGUCUAAUACCGGAUAUGACUCCAUGACGCAUGUUGUGGGGUGGAAAGCCUUGUGCGGCUGAGGAUGGGCCCGCGGCCUAUCAGCUUGUUGGUGGGGUGAGGCCUACCAAGGCGACGACGGGUAGCCGGCCUGAGAGGGCGACCGGCCACACUGGGACUGAGACACGGCCCAGACUCCUACGGGAGGCAGCAGUGGGGAAUCUUGCGCAAUGGGCGAAAGCCUGACGCAGCGACGCCGCGUGAGGGAUGACGGCCUGGUU